CGGCGGACGGGUGAGUAACACGUGGGUAACCUGCCUGUAAGACUGGGAUAACUCCGGGAAACCGGGGCUAAUACCGGAUGGUUGUUUGAACCGCAUGGUUCAGACAUAAAAGGUGGCUUCGGCUACCACUUACAGAUGGACCCGCGGCGCAUUAGCUAGUUGGUGAGGUAACGGCUCACCAAGGCAACGAUGCGUAGCCGACCUGAGAGGGUGAUCGGCCACACUGGGACUGAGACACGGCCCAGACUCCUACGGGAGGCAGCAGUAGGGAAUCUUCCGCAAUGGACGAAAGUCUGACGGAGCAACGCCGCGUGAGUGAUGAAGGUUUUCGGAUCGUAAAGCUCUGUUGUUAGGGAAGAACAAGUGCCGUUCAAAUAGGGCGGCACCUUGACGGUACCUAACCAGAAAGCCACGGCUAACUACGUGCCAGCAGCCGCGGUAAUACGUAGGUGGCAAGCGUUGUCCGGAAUUAUUGGGCGUAAAGGGCUCGCAGGCGGUUUCUUAAGUCUGAUGUGAAAGCCCCCGGCUCAACCGGGGAGGGUCAUUGGAAACUGGGGAACUUGAGUGCAGAAGAGGAGAGUGGAAUUCCACGUGUAGCGGUGAAAUGCGUAGAGAUGUGGAGGAACACCAGUGGCGAAGGCGACUCUCUGGUCU
rnacentral:rRNA from 1 species